UUUAAUUCUCAGGCUCAGCCAAAACAGCUUUAAGAGGGUAGAAAGAAAACAUCUCAUCACCUACACCCACCCAGCGAGAGUGCCCACACGCCUGUGCCCCUCCCAGCAUUCCAAGCGAGAGCCCGAGGAUUCACUCUAAUUGGACGGCGUGGGUCACAUGACCACCGACGCUUGGGACCAAAGGUAAGGGCUAUUAUGGCAGGAAGGAGGAAGGAGAAGCCCUUGGAGUCCCCCCACGGCCACCCAACAAACAGCACAUCUGAAGGAAGACCAAAGCCCAAAGGGAACACAACCAUUACUAUCGCUCCCUCUGCUAUCUGGGUGCCUGGAAUACAGAUGUGAUGGCUGGUGCGGUCGCUGCAAGUUUGGAUUAUGAGGAUGAGAUGGAGGAAUAGUGACCUGGAUUGAAACCUGAGUCCUCAAGAACUAGUGAUACCAAGCUACUAUGUUGGCCAUGAAUGGUCCACCCCCACACUUCUACAAAAGGGAAAAAUAAACUUCCAUUGUGCUUGGAGUCCAUAUUAUCAGUAGCUAUUAAUUGGAGUCUGGACCAUUAGUAACUGAAAUGAAUCAUA